rnacentral:rRNA from 1 species
GACGAACGCUGGCGGCGUGCUUAACACAUGCAAGUCGAACGGAAAGGCCCUGCUUGCAGGGUACUCGAGUGGCGAACGGGUGAGUAACACGUGGGUGAUCUGCCCUGCACUUCGGGAUAAGCCUGGGAAACUGGGUCUAAUACCGGAUAGGAGCCAUUUUUAGUGUGAUGGUUGGAAAGUUUUUUCGGUGUAGGAUGAGCUCGCGGCCUAUCAGCUUGUUGGUGGGGUAAUGGCCUACCAAGGCGGCGACGGGUAGCCGGCCUGAGAGGGUGGACGGCCACAUUGGGACUGAGAUACGGCCCAGACUCCUACGGGAGGCAGCAGGGGGGAAUAUUGCACAAUGGGCGCAAGCCGGAUGCAGCGACGCUGCGUGGGGGAUGACGGCCUUCGGGUUGUAAACUCCUUUCGCUAGGGACGAAGCUUUUUGUGACGGUACCUAGAUAAGAAGCACCGGCUAACUACGUG